rnacentral:lncRNA from 1 species
UCCUUUUAAUGGAAAAAGUUUGCUGUAGGCAGCUGGUCUUCUUGGUCCUUAGUUUCCUUUAUAUAUACAUACAAACUAGAAUUCCUGAACCAAUUAAAAUGGACGGGAUAACAAAAGCAUGCAUGAUCUGGACUUGCACGCAUGAUGUGGCCUACUGGAAUAGGGGGCAUCUAGAACCACAUCACUUGGGGGCGUCGCUAUUGCACCACUUCAAUCCUUGAUGGAGCUAGCAACAGAAGAGGUAGAUGCAGUUGCCCAAUAUCAAAUUGGUUCUCUUACUGUCACCGGUGCUUGCGUUAGUGAAAUAUUCAGUAUCUUUUGUCAUGUGUGCUGUCCACUAUCUUUUGUCAAACGGCACCACUAGUACUUGGAUAUCCAAUUUUUCUCAUCGGACGGUCCGUUGCAACACGUGGAAAUAAAGUCUGCAAUACUGAAACUUAGCUUUUGUAACAUUCAAAUAUACGAUUAAAAUAUCAGCUCCAUAACAUCCGAUUCUAAAGAAAAACAAAUUCCCACCGCAACAAAUUAGAGAUGUUUCAUGCAACAUCCCAAUUCAAAUCGUCCUUUUAAGUAAGAAUCGUAACUUUGCAUAUCAGCUAUUGAAAUAUUUAAGAAAACCUUAUGCAACAUCGAGAAAUGGCUAAUGCAACAAUAUCACUUGUUGCAAUAUCAAGGAAAACUCUAUAGCAUUUCAAAUUAAUUUAUGCAACGUUGGGAAACACUAACCCAAACAUCUCAAACCAUCCAAUACAUCAGAAGAAAAAUCGAACAUGAAACUGGACAUCUCAAAACUAAUAUUGCAACAUCAAAGACCAUCUAGUGCAAUAUCAGCAAACACUAAUCCCAACAUCUCAAAAAUACCAACUGCAACAUCGUAAAAUUUUGGUGCGUCGUGGCUUACUGGUGCCUCUAAACAUGGAGUCUUCUUCCUCCAGAGCACAAUAGAAUGUUCUCAUGGAGUCAUGGUGCAUACAUCCAUCUUCCCCUUCUAUGGACCUCCUCCCGGUAAGCACAUGAGUAGGAGCAAGCGCAUGGCUCGACCACCAGCAUGGGAGCAAGCGACUCAGCAUCCUGCGACCAUGUCCUCAAACGACGCGAAUUGGAAUAGCUCGUGACCCAGGUCGGCAGCGACGGCGCCCAACGGGAGCUCAGUGGGUGCACUGCUUUGGCCUUUGGCGGUGUGGGGCAUGACCACUACAAUCUCACUAGC